UCGUCGGACCAAUUCCUCAAGGUCCACAAUUCAACACAUUUGGAUAUGACUCAUAUGGUGGCAACCUUGAUUUAUGUGGUCUUCCUUUAUCAAAGCAAUGUGAAACAAGUGAUUCAUCACAUGUUCCUCAACAAGAAGAUGAAGGCGAGUCAUAUUUUUUUAGUGGAUUUACGUGGGAAUCAGUAGUCAUAGGCUACAGUUGUGGUCUAGUUGUUGGAACUUUUCAUGUGGAGUCUCAUGUUUAAAUAUCGUAAGCCAAAAUGGUUUGUGGAAUUUUUUGAUGGACUCAUGCCUCACAAAAGAAGAAGGCCAAAGAAGAGAGCUCAGAGAUGACGGACUUAAUGGAAGAUUGAGAGGGUAACCUUGUCUUUGUUUGAUUUUGUGGACUAAUUAGUGAACUUUUCUGGUUCUGUUUUUGUCUUUUCAAUUUUCUAUUUGUUGUUUGUAUAUGUUUGAUAGAAACAUAAUUAUAUGUGUGUUAUUCAAGUUAUGUUAGUUUGUUUCUGUUUCAAGUUGAUAGAAGUGAUUUACACAGCCACUCAUUAGUUAUGUUACUCAGACUCUUCAAAAAUGUCAACGACUACAUAUUGAAUUCUUCAAAAGUAGAGCAUUUUUUAUGAAACCAACACAAAUGCAACACCAUUUUAUUUUUAGGAGAGUCGGAGCAACAUAGCUCAUCAGCAUAACAAAAACAGGAAAUUGCACAAGCAAAUAGAUCAGUUUGGUUUAUGAUUGAAAUCACUUGAUAUUAGAAAGUUUAUAUUUUUGAAAAUUUAAGUAGAAGAGUACUCAAAACUACAUAAUUUGCUAAUAAUUUUGUGGUUCUGCAUCUUUAGAAUCAUAAAUCACUUAAAAUGUUCUCUAACUCAAUAUCAACUUCCGCAAAUUUAAUUUUAGUAAGUUUUUACAUAUAUUUAUACUUCGUGUACGAAAAAUAAUGUCUCUGGUUGUUCAACAACUAAUUCAUAUUGUUUGAUUAUCAAUGCGGAAAAGGUUUUUUUAAAAGGGCAAAAUGUUCUAUACAAGGAUUUUAGAAGUGACUAGUACUCAUUCAUGGACUACAAGUGACUUUGAGUCUUCCUGGAAAUUGACUUAACACUUAGGACAACCACAAAUUAUUUGUUUGGAUGUGUUUCUUUUCUUUCGCUAAUUUAUACCUCAAUAGUCCCAUGCAUAGACAAGUCAACAACGCUACUUUAUGAAAUACUGUUUGGUUAAUUGUUCACUAUAUUUUAAUGUGGAGGUCGUUGUAAUAAUUAAGAAAUGGAAUAGUGUUUGGUUAAUUAUAGCAUCCUUUCUUCCGUGACUACUUAUUUUAUUGACUUAUUUAUAUGUUGACAAUUAUCAUGAACCCAUAUUAUAUUAUUACUAGGUAAAUUACCCGUGCUUCGCACGGAAUUGAACUAUUUUAUUAAGCUUACAUAUGAUCAUUCGAUAAUAUUCAUAUUUUCGAUACAUACACUACAUUGUCAAGAUCAUUUUAUCUUAAGGCAAAACGUUCCUCCAAAAUCUUAAAGUGCUAUAUUUUUUUAAUUUUCAUUUUUGUUAUACAAAUAUUAUGAGUCAUAGAUAGAUUUUAAGUAUAAGAAAGAAGUCUAAGAAAAUCUCCUUGGAAAUAGUUGGUCAGAAGUAAUGGAAUAUUUUUAAUUCCAAGAAGUUAUAAAGAACAACAUCAGACGUUAAUAAAGAGACCAAAAAAGGUCGAACAACAACACUUCCAAGUAAAGUGGAGUAUCACGUCCAUACAAGAUCAUAAUUAACUAAAUUCAAAUGGACGACCAUGGACUCCUUUCUUAUGAACCUCCAUCAAUCUCUUUUUUAUUAUUGUAUGCCAUAUCAAGUAUAUGCUAAAAAUGACCCUAAAAUUGUUAUUAUCAUAAAUGUUUUUUUGUCAUUGUCUCAAAAUAGUCAUUACUAUUUUAAAGGUUUCAUAUCACCGGCCCCAACUUAUUUGGAUUAAACCAUAGUUAUUGUUAUGGUUAUAGUAUGCAGUUACAAAAAAAUUAAUGCAAUUAUCAGCCAAGCAAUAGGUGACAUCUGAAUGUUCACAACGGGAUAUUCUAAACAAAAAAUUUGACACAUAACAUAUUAAAAUCUCACAACAUAAUUUUGUGAGCACUUGAACUCACAAAUAUCCUAAAAUAAUAAUAAAGACAAUCUUACUUUCCUAACAAUCAAGAAGAAAAAGGCUCGUUGCUUAAUAUAUUUUUCAAAAAGAUAGUCUUUCGGGUUGUAUCCAAGUUCACAGUUCACAAAUUUAGUUGAAAGAAGCCAAAAGAAAGAGUUAUUACUUCUUUAUCAAAAAAAUUUAAAACUUUAUCAAAAGAAUGAGUUAUCACUACAACAAAAAUGAUCUUUAACGAUAAUUAAUAGCUUAAUUAUCGCUAAAUAUGUAUUUUCAGAGGCAAUUGGUACUCUGUAUAAAUGUUCCUAAAGUCUAUAGCAACAUUGAAUCCAAUGACAGUUAAUUCAUGUCGGUAAAGGCUGUAGCACUCUUCGUGAACGUGCAUAUUUAUUGCCGAUAAAAAAUAUUUUUGUUGUAGUGUAUUUUGGACAUUUGUUAGUUUUAAGAAAACUUGAUCUCUUAUUAUGCCCAAAAAGAAGAGAAGAGGAAAUAUGACAAAUUAGUUAACUUGCGAUAAAUGAUGUGGACUAAUUGUCUCUAUACAAAUUUUCUAGGAAUAGUGCAAUGGCAUACAAAAUGUUUGUACCUAAGAAAAAACAAUCAAAAUAAUAUACUAACUGUGGCAAACAAGAGAGAAAUCAUUUUGGUUCUUUUAACAAACUUCAUCAUUGGUUCCGUACUAGUUAUCAGAUUUUUGUUGUUGUGUGCUAUCAAAUAUAGCACAACCCACAAGCAAUUUUCCCAAAAAGUAUAUGAAGAAAAACUGUAGAAAGGGACAAAAGAGAAGAUAAACUUUCAAUCAUCCUCAUUGAAAUUUUGAACAUAAUUAAAAAAAAAGUCACCAAAAUAGCAAAAAGAAAUUGCAAUAGAUACAUGAAUCACUAUGAUUUAUAGUAAAAAAUUAAGCUUCAUGAAAUAGGAGGAAAAAAACUUUGAGAAAUGAAAUGCACUUUAUAAGAAACUUAAUUAAUGUAUUUGAUUUCGAAAAAAAAUACAAAUAAUAGUGGUAGAAAUAAAAGAUUUGUUUACUAAAGAACCAAAUGUAAUGAAUUCAGUCAUCAACCAUUUCAGCAGUGUUAUGAGUUGUGCACUGAGAGAUCCAAGAGCAGUAAUGUCGCAUUGCAAUUGAAAUCAAUUUUCUUUGUUUAUAUGAAGAAACCUGUAGAAAGUGACAAAAGAGAGGAUCAAUUUUCAAUCAUCCCUGCUGAAACUUUAACAGAGUUAAAAAAAAGGUCACCAAAAUAGGAAAAUGAAAUUGCCAUAGUUACAUGAAUCACCAUGACUUACAAUAAAGAUUAAGAUCCAUGAAAACUUUUAGGAAUGAAAAAAAUUCCUAAAAACUUAAUUAAUGUAUUUGAAUUUGACUACCCUAUAGAGGGAAAAAAACCUACAAAUUAUAGUGGCAGGAAAUUCCUCUAUUUAUAGACAACAUAGAGUAGUGUGAACAAAUUUUUAUUGUGCCUUAUCCGAGAUGUCACAACUCUUUGGAAAAGUUACAACCCUUCAGAAAGGUCACAACCUUUCAUAAAAGUCAUAAUUUUUCAUAAAAGUUGCAACUCUUCAUAAAAGUCACAACUUUUCAUAAAAGUCACAGCUUUUAAUGAAAAGGGAAGGCUAGUUUUGGAAAUAAAUAAAAUUUAAAAGGGAAUCCUAGUUUAUGGUGGCGCCACGUAGGCGGGCCUAGGGUUCUCUUUUAUAUAAAUUUUUGAUUUUUGAUAUAUGAUUUUUACGUUUACCUUUUUUAUUCUUCUUUCUAUUUUUAUUCUUUCAUUAUUAAAUAUUCUAAAGUCUAACCUUUUGCAUUAUACAAAAUAUAUUGUUGGGUGUUAAUAAAAAUAUCAAAUUUAUUUUUUGGUGUAUUCUUUAAAUUACAAGCACUACAACAAACACUACAAUAAAAACAACUUGUUGCGGUUUCUGAACCUUUCAUAUAAUUCAUUAACAGGCCACCUACCACAAUUUUAUUUCCAUAAUCUAGGGUAUCUUGAUCUUAAAUUUAACUCCCUUCAGGGGCCACUAUCUUCAUCCAUUUGAAACAUGAGCAUACUUAGACUUGGGGAAAUUGAAUGUGCUUGAAGCAAUGAUUAAAUUAGAUGACGGAGACAAAGGUGAGAUCAAAUAUAUGGAACAAUUGAGUGAAUAUUCAAUGUAUGAAGAUUCAGUGAGUUUGGUGAUCAAAGGCCAUGAUACUGAGCUAGAAAAAAUCAACACAAUUAUGACAACCAUAGAUCUCUCAAGCAACCAUUUUGAAGGUGUCAUUCCAAAAAUACUAAAGGAUCUUGGCUCACUUCGGUUACUCAAUUUAUCACGUAACAAUCUCAAAGGUGAUAUUCCAAUGGAACUGGGGCAAUUGAAUGUGCUUGAAGCAAUGGAUCUGUCCUGGAAUCGGCUCACUGGAAAUAUUCCUACUGAAUUGACAAGACUAAAAUUUCUAGCAGUCUUAAACCUCUCUCAGAAUGUUCUUGUCGGUCCAAUUCCUCAAGGUCUACAAUUCAACACAUUUGGAAAUGACUCGUAUGGUGGCAACCUUGAUUUAUGUGGUCUUCCUUUAUCAAAGAAAUGUGGAACGAGUGGUUCAUCACAUGUUCCUCAACCAUCGGAGUCGUAUUUCUUUAGUGGAUUUACGUGGGAAUCAAGGCUACAGUUGUGGACUAGUUGUUGGAACUGUCAUGUGGAGCCUCAUGUUUAAAUAUCGUAAUCCAAAAUGGUUUGUGGAAUUUUUUGAUAGACUCAUGCCUCACAAAAGAAGAAGGCCAAAGAAGAGAGCUCAGAGACGACGGAUUUAAUGGAAGAUUGAGAGGGCCAACUUGUCUUUGUUUGAUUUUGUGGACUAGUUAGUGAACUUUUCUGGUUCUGUUUUUGUCUUUCUGUUUGUUGUUUUGUAUAUGUUUGAAAGAAACAUAAUUAUUAUAUGUGUGGUAUUUUAGUAUCAAUGGUUAUUCAAGUUAAGUCUAUUUCUGUUUCAAGUUGACAGAAGUGAUCUACACAGCCACUCAUUAGCUAUGUUACUUAGACUCUUCAAAAAUGUCAAUGGGUACGUGUUGGAUUCUUCAAAAGUAAUGCAAUUUUUAAGGAAUCAACAUGGGUGUCAUUAUAUUUUAGGAUAGUCGAAGCAACAUAACUCAUCUUUCUUAACAUUUUCUGUUUCUGUAUUUAUUUCUUUUAAAGAUCAUUGCUUUGAUCUUAAUGGCUUUCAACCCAUAUUAGGAACACUUGAAAUGGCUGAACUCAUACACACAGAGGAUAGAAACUAUUCAGCUGUUGACUGAAGUGAUCCACUUAUUAGUACAACAAAACAGGAAAAGGCUACAUCCACCUCUGGGGCUCAUGUUGUUCUGUUUCUUCAAAUGCAAAACACUCUCUAUCAGGAUUUUCUUUAUUUUCAAGGUUCGAAUCCGAAACCCUUGGUUCAAUUUUACCUGGAACCAUGCAUUUAGCAUAACUAUAUGUCCUAUUGCAUUAUAGUUAUUAUACAAAGUGGAAAAGUUCAAGGGAUAAUAACACCAUCUCAAAAGUCGGGUGUGUAACUGAAAAUCUAAAUCAACUUUAGGGGUAUACUUAGGGCUGUUCAAAACUGAACCAUAACCGAUAAGUCAAUCGCAAAAUUGACUUAUUGGUAUUGGAUUAUCGGAUUAACGGUUGGUCAACGGAUUAAAAUUUUAUAGUUAAUGGUGCGGGGCGGAUUACUCAAUGGUGCGGGCCGGAUCACUCAAUUUCCUUCUAGGGUAAACCAUUAACCUUUUAAAAAUUAUCGUAGUUAGGAUAUUUAUUAAGUAAAUACUAAUGCGCUUGCACCCUCAAAAUUUAGUUCACAUGUGUUGUCACGCCCUGAGCCUACACCCUGGACGUGGCGGGCACUCGAAGACCAUUGCUGGUCCCAAGCGAACUGUUGGCCUAGUUUACUUGACUCAGCGGAAGACUUAAACUAAACAAAGAUAAGUUCAUAUAAUAAAUUGGAAUGUUAUAAAGGAACAUUCAACUGGACAUUAAGGCAAACUCAAGUCUGAACAUGGAGUAAUGACAAUGAAAAAACUAAAAACUAACAUCUGACUGUCUAUGAAGCCUCUAAUAACAACUGAGAUGGAUGUUGGGAUAGACCCCACAACAUCCUAAUAAACUAAACUGGAAAGCAAUGAAAUGGAUCCUCCGGAAAGCAAGGAGGCUCACCAACAGACUCUGGACUGCUCACUGGAUCAACGAUGCGUCAGGAUGCCGAUCCUAGUUACCUGUGUUUGCAUCAUAAUACGAUGCAGACCAACUGACAUCAGUACAUUGAGUGUACGAGUAUGCGAGUUGGAAUGCUAAAACAACAUAGACUAGAAAGAAUCUGAGAGAAACUGAAGAACUUACAUGACUCAACUCAACAUGACUGAACUCAUUUCAUUAUAAAUCAGUUUAAAAGCAAGUGCAAUAUAAAGAAAAGUUGUUUAAAAACAUGAUAUUAACUCUGUGUGUAUGCAAGAUACAAAUAACUCUGAGAUGUAUUUAAAAAUACAAUAAACUGAUGUAUAUAAAAAUACAAUAACUUCUGUGGGAGUUUCUCUAACCGACAACCACCACUUAUGAAACUAAGUGGUGAUACAACGUUUUACCUCACGUUACCCAAGGACCAUCNNNNNNNNNNNNNNNNNNNNNNNNNNNNNNNNNNNNNNNNNNNNNNNNNNNNNNNNNNNNNNNNNNNNNNNNNNNNNNNNNNNNNNNNNNNNNNNNNNNNNNNNNNNNNNNNNNNNNNNNNNNNNNNNNNNNNNNNNNNNNNNNNNNNNNNNNNNNNNNNNNNNNNNNNNNNNNNNNNNNNNNNNNNNNNNNNNNNNNNNNNNNNNNNNNNNNNNNNNNNNNNNNNNNNNNNNNNNNNNNNNNNNUUAUCCCGGGAUUAACUUACCUUAUCCCGGGAUUAACUUACCUUAUCCAUUACACCAAACGACCCCUAAGUCUUAAAACAAAGUUAAAAGCCUUUGCAAAAGACUUCUUGAAAAGACUCUAAGAAUUUCUUAGACUUGGCUCUUGACUUUCCUUGAAUUUAAAUUUAGGAAUUCAAGGUUAUGGUUUAUGUUUCUGGAUGAUUUCUAGACGUUUAGAAGUCAUUUAGAGUAGUUAGAAUCAAUGGAAAGUGUUAGUACACUUUAGAAGAACUUAAAUAGGCUAGACGACGGAAAACUGACGAAAAACGACGAUUUGGGCGCAUCCCGGGCGCGCUGCGCCAGCCCCAACUUACUGGGGCUCAAAUCUGGCGCACUGUUGGCGCGCUGCCCCAUCCCCUCGGGCGCAUCUGGGGCGCGUUGCGCCAGCCUCCCUUCAAGCAAAAUUCUAACGAACUUUUGCUCUCGUUUUCUGAUCCUAAAUCGUUUUAAUCUAAUUCUUUUUCUCAAUUUCACUUUAGAUUUAUGUACCCAAAUCAUAUACACAAGGAUCUAACUCAAGGAACUCAAGAACUAACAACUUAGUCAUCAAGAACUCCUAAAACUCAACUCAUGUUCAAGAACAAAAGUAAUUCAAGAACCACAUUCAAUAACAUUCAAAAUCCAAUCUUUUUGAAAUGAAAUCGCUGAAUCAAACAUGCUUGGCACGUGGGUAAACGAACCCAACAUUGAGAUAGACUCACAUACCUUAAUUGAUUGAAUCCUCGGCCAAAUUCGCAAGCAAUUCCUUACGACGACAACGAAUCUAGCUUUUUCCUCCUUUGUCUUUUCUUGCGUUCUUCCUCCAAAACCCUAGUUCUAUUUGGUAAAUGUCUAAACUGAUUUAAUUCAGCUUAGACCCCUAAUUAAUUACCAAAAAUGAAUUAAAAUAAAAGGGUAAGGAAAAGACCAAACUACCCUUUAAAAUCCGGAUUGGACAUUUCCUUAAUCCAACAACCCAACUUCCAAAGGGAAUAUCUCACUCAUAUGAACUCGUAAUCGUGCAAACUUGGCGGCGUUGGAAAGAUAAUUCCAAGAGCUUUACAAUUAUACCUGGAAGUACACCUAACUCAUCUUGAUCUAGGAGUUAUCUCCGUUUGAAGUUGGCCCAAAAAUCAACUUUUCUUAACUUAAACAAAUUUUCCAGAUUUUUGUUAUUUCCAAAAAAAAUGACUAUUUCAACUUCUUAGCUUCUUCCUAGUUAUUUCAAUUUGUGAGAUGUUACAUGUGUCUCACUGUGAUUUACAAUUACUGAAUUACCAGCUUAAGUAGGGCUAGAAAAAAAUGUUUUGUUUGAUGGGAGAUCAAUCUAAUUGUGAUUGAAAGUGAAAGAAGGGAGCACGGAAUGUUGGAGCCAAUACACCAACCGAUAACCAUCCAUUAAUUCCUAACCCGAUACCGAGUCAACCGAUAGCUUAUCCAUUGGCUAGCAGAUUAAUUUCUUUCUCGUGUUUGUAAUUUUAUCUUGUUUUAUUUUUUCUUUCACUUAGACUCCAUAUUUAUUUAUUAAGAAAUUAAUUAAAUAUAUAAUUAUGAAUUUGGUAAUUAGAAUGAGUUGUGAGAGUUAAACGAUAAAUUCAAAAUUUAUAGAAAUCAAAUUUUGGCUCCAUUUCUGAAAGGUGAGGUAAAGAUAGGGCUUGGAGUUUAUGAAAUCUAGAUUUUAGAAAAAGACCGCACCUUAAUAGGCUUUUGAUAGAUUAUUUGAAAAUUUUAAAUAUUAAUAUAUGAUUUGAGCUGAAGUUACUAAACACUUUUCGAACCCAAGCUAUACUUCUUUCUCAGGGUAUACCCUCCACAACUUCACUCUUAAUCAUAUAUUUUGACUUUGAAUCAUUCUAGUACUAGAAUAAGGAUAAUCAGCUAGGCAAUUAAGCAACACUUUCUGGCAUGGUGGUACAACUGCCAACAACUAGAAACAUUUUUCAUAUUUCUUAAAUUCAAUCAAUGUAGUAACUUGUAAACUUAAGUUUCAUAGUUAAGAUAUGGUAAAAAAAAUAAAAAUAAUAUCUCUUUUAUUGAGUAAGGUAUAAUCUACAGAAAUUUUUAUGGGCCUCAAAAAUGGGCUGCUCCUUUUAAACAUGGGAUGGGCUUCUCUUCUCUUAAUGGGCCUUAUGCUGCACGAGCCUGUAUUAGUUGGAGCUCCGAAACAGGAAUAGAACACCGGGUUAAGGAUUUGAAAAUUAUCUUUCCAAAUGACAUUCAAGCUAGGUGCUCUAAUAUAUUUUACUCGCUUUCCUUAACUUCCUUGAUUUAUCUUUAUCUAUACUGACAGUGUAAAACUUAUCACUUAUAAUAGUUAACACGUUAUUUUCCUGAUUUCAAAUUAUUAAUCUCAUGAAGUUUCACUUAUAGUUACUUUUAGAUGACUUGAUAGUGAAAAAAAAUAUUCUUUGAAACUUUGUUUCAAAUUGUCUAGCAUACAAUUAUCCCAGAACAAUGUAGGGGCGGAUCUAGUGAAGCAGCUACGAGUUCAUUCGAACCAAGUAGCUUUGCUUAAGACUCUUUAUAUAUGUUAAAAAAUGAAUUACAUAUUUUUCAACCUUUCAAAAUAAAUGGUACUUGUAUUGUUACCAUGUAGUACCUAAGUGUAAUGGUUACGCAUAAUUUGUAAAUUUUGUAAUGAAGGGUCUAUCGGAAACAACCUCUCUUCUCUACCUCCACAAGUUAUGAUAAGGUCUGCAUACACACUACCCUCCUCCUCAGACCGCACUUGUGGGAUUACAUUGAGUAUGUUGUUGUUUGUUCAUUUAGUUGUUGUGAAAAACUAUAAGAUAGUACCAUUUUUUGUUGUGUGUUACACAUGAUUCAGUCCUUAAGACAGCAAAGCUGGUCUUCUGUAGGAGAUAUUUGUCUCAAGUUCACAUUUGAUAUGUGUUACACAUGGUUCUAUAUAUGUGGAUAGGAAAAAUCUAUGUAGGAGAUAUUUGUCUUAAAUAACAUCACCAUUGAUGCUGGAAUACAAAUCACUUUCCCUAGCCUAGAAGUUUUGCAGUUUUCUUGUAAACUGAAGGAUUUUUCACACUUGUUGAGAAAUGUAAAGACAUUUGUGUACUUGGAUAUUUCUGCUCCCAAUUGCACACGCAAAUGUAUGUGGUCGCGGAAGAAAUAUAGUGACUCUUAACAGAAUCGGAUUAUAUAUCGAACCCAAAAGACUUGUCAAUUAACUAUUUUACUAAAUUAUACUGGUCUAAUUAUUUAUUUAAGAGUGCCAAAAGAAUUGACUUUUAUUUAAAUACUAAGAAUGCAAGAAUUAAAUAAUAAAAUUACUUACAAUGGUUGGAAAAUUUCAGGGCCGCAACAUGCAUAGGGUUCAUGUAUCACAUCUCAUGCAUGAAUUAACUACAGUUAUCAAAUUACUGAUUUACACGGUUGAUUUUAUGAUCGAUCAUGGUCUUCCGACCUCUAAUCGUCUACUCAAUUUAGUUGUUUAACUACAUCGUUGAGUGAGGAUAGACAGUCCUAAUUGACGAGCAUUUAUAUUUCCUCAUGUUUUGUGACCAAGCUAGGUGUUCGUCUGAGCGUCAUUCCUAAACACAAAUCAACUCAAUUUAAUGGAAGAUCAACCUUUUUGUAUCCAUUGGUCUAUCUACCUUAGUGUCUCCUGAUUUUAAGAGUAGACAAUAGAUUUAUCUCUAUGAUGGCCAGUCAAGAAAUACUAAAACAAGAAUACAAAAGUAAUUUAAGCGAUAAUCGAUGUUCAACACUUACACAUAGCUACAACCCUAGAACAAGGGCCUUUAACUACUAAUGUCUAAGAAAAUAUAUAGAAGCCUAAAAAGUAUUGACAACUUUAUAGUUAUACCUAUGAUUCAUCUCCCCCAAUAAUUAUUUCUAUGAACUAUUUAUAGAUAUAGAAAAUUCCAAAUAAAAUAACUGAGUCCAAAACAAAUCGGAAAAUCAAAACCAAACGGAAUUUGACUUCCACGUCAACAAUGGUCGUCCAACUGCCUCAAUUCUCUUUGCUGCCUUCAGAAUCAGCCACGUGGCAACUAAUGUAGGUAAACUUCAUUAAUUUCCUUUCUUUGUACGUUUGAAUGAAUAUUAAGUUGUCUGCUUGAUUUUCUUCUAUAAUCUUUCAUCUUUAAUUCGUUUUAGGUCCAAAUUUUUUCAUCUUCACACCAAUUUAAUCUUAUAAAUAAAAUACACUACUUAGCAUAAUUCAUAAAAUUCAUGCUAAAAAAGGACAAAUAUAUAUAAUAAAUGUAAGGUAAAUAAUGAUUAAAAUAUAUAUUUUUAGCCUCAUAUCAAUAAGAUUCGUGGUCAAAUCCCUAACUGGUUUAAUGGCAUGAGGUGGGGUUCGUAAACCUUUCACAUAAUUCAUUAACAGGCCACCUACCAAAAUUUCAUUACCAUAAUGUAGAGUAUCUUGAUCUUAAAUUUAACUCCCUUCGGGGUCCACUACCUUCAUCCAUAUGUAACCUAAUAUAUAUUCCUUUAACAAUCUGUACAUUGAAGCAACUCACACUUUUAGAUCUUUGGAGGAGAAAUUCCUGCAUUUGAAAGUUCGAUUUUUUUGUGUUUGCCGUAGCAGUGGACUUAUAGGCCUAUUCAUCCUUGUAAUGAAAAUUGAACAUGAAUGAAAAUAAAAACCAAAUGAAAGAAAAAAAAUAUGGAGUAUAUAUUAUUUUGUUAGGUCUUCUUCGUCCUCUAACAAACACUACAAAAUAUGAGUAAUAAGUUGUUAGAAGUGAGUAGUACUCAUCUAUGGACCACAAGUUGCGUACCAUUUAUGAUUGUAUAGAUUCCAUGGAAAAAUUGCAUAGAAAUUUAAUGCAUUUGUACAACUUGGUUUCCUCUAUUCCGAAUGUACAAUAAUUGUUCUCACAAUUGGUUCAAUGACGCGUUUUGACCUUUUAUGAUUAUAUAGAUUCCGUGGAAAAAUUGUACUAAAAUUUAUUGCAUUCAUACAACUUGGUUUCACUUGAUUAAAGGGACCAAUUUCACAUCAUCUUGCUUAACACAUACUGCAGAGAUAGUCGAUCUAUGACCUCGAAAUGAACAACAACAUCUAGAGAAAAUGAGGACAUAGUGAGUAUUAUAUUGUUAAGUCUUCUUCGUGCUCUAAAAAAUCUCGUGAAACACUACAAAAUAUGUGUAACAUGUUGUUAUAAGUGACUAGUACUUAUUCAUGAAGUACAGGUGACUUUGAGUCUUCCUGGAAAUUGACUUUAACACUUAGGAUGUGUUUCUUUUCUUUCGUUAAUUUGUACCUCAUAGUCCCAUGCAUAGACAAGUCAGCAAUGCUACUUUAUGAAAUAUCGUUUAGUUAAUUAAUUGUUCACAUUAUUUAAUGUGGAGGUCGUUAUAACAAUUAAGAGAUGAAAUGGUGUUUAGUUAAUUAUAUCAUCAUUUCUUACGUGACUACUUAUUUUAUUAACUUAUUUAUAUCUGGGCAAUUAUCAUGAACCCGCAUUAUUAUUUUUACGUUUAUCUUUUUUAUUCUUUCAUUAUUAAAUACUCUAAAGUCUAUCAAACGGUAAAACCUUUUGAAUUAUACAAACAAUAUUGUUGGGUGUUAAUAAAAAGAUCAAUCUGUUUUUUGGUGUAUUCUUUAAAUUACAAGCACUAUAACAAAAACAACUUUUAGCUCAAAAGUCACUUAACUAUGAAUUCUUUUCUCAAAAAGUCACUCAACAUUGAAUUUUAACACAAAUAUCACUCAAUUAUGAGUGGUUUACUUACAAAGUCACUCAAUUAUGAUUGUUUUACUUACAAAGUCUGUUAACAUAUUUAAUUGUUUUUUUAAUUAAAAUUUGUUGGUAUAAUUUUCUUAUUUAAAAUUAAUAUUUUAAAAAAAAGUAAUAUCCAUUAAAUAAUUUAAUGAUCUGCCCCGCUAAAAAUAUAAUAUUGAUUUUUUUUUUAAUUGGAAUUCAAGAAUAAUACGGGAAUAAAUUAUUCCAUGCAUCAGAAUUCUAAGCAUUAUGAGGAAUAAAUUAAUUUCCUCUUCAUCCCCUCCCCCUUUCUCAGUUGCUGCCUCUUCUUCCUCUUUUAGUUUUUUUAAUUGGAAUUCAAAAAUAAUACUGGAAUAAUUUCAUGCAUCAGAAUUCCUAAAGCAGAGGAGAAAGAAUCCGACAAUAAUUUAGGAGAAUUAGCGGUAAAAUAAAAUGGGUCAAUAUUAUAUUUUUAGGAGGUCAUUCAUUAAAUGAUUUAAAUGAAUAUUUUUUUAUUUUUUAAAAUAUUGCUUUUAAUAAAAUUUUAUACCAGCAAAUUUAAUUAAAAAAUUAACUAAAUAGGUCAAAUGACUUUGUAAGUAAAAUACUUAUAGUUGAGUGACUUUGUAAGUAAAACACUCAUCAUUGAGUGACCUUUUAGUUAAAAUUCAAGUUGAGUGACUUUCUGAGAAAAGAAGUCAUAGUUGAGUGACUUUCUGAGAAAAAAAAUUCAUAGUUGAGUGACUUUCUGAGAGAGUAGUGCAUAACUGAGUGACAAUAUUAUAUUACGUGGUUUUGAGUAAGUUUUAUUAUUCUAACUUUAUAUUAUAUAUUUUUUCAUUGAAAAUUUUCGUUGUUUGUAUUCUUACUUCAUAAUGGUCUAUGACUUUGUGUACAUCCUACCUUCUUGAAACUUUACUUGUAGGAUUACAUUAAUCAGUAUGUUAUAAGUAUUCAAUUUAUGUUCGAGUAAUCAACACCAAAUAUUUGGGCAUAUCCCUUGACAACAAGCCUAGCCUUGUAUUUAUUGAUAGAACCAUCAGAAUUGAGCUUGGUUCUAAACACCCAUUUUACUCCAAUGACCUUCAUAUCUUUCAGUCGGUCGACUAACUCCCAAGUUUUGUUUUUCUUGAUCAUUAGCAUCUCCUGCUCCAUUGGCGUUUUCUCCAUUUUUUAUCUUGAAGUGCUUCAUCGUGCCCUGCAGGCUCACAAACUGCCACAUUACUUUGUUGGUAGAUGUCAGAGAGUAGUCUUGUACCUCUAAUUGGAAGAUCAUCCACCAACUCAUUUUUCCAGUGAUCCGAUGCCUGCUCCUCUGAAGCUUUGACUGAAAGUUGAUUGUCCUUCCAGUCCCAUUUCUCUUCAUCAACAAAGUGCACAUCUCUACUGACAAUCAUCUUCCCUGUUUGUGGAUUAUAUACUUUGUAGGCCUUGGAGGAUGAGCUACAACCCACAAAUAUUCCAGGAAGUGCCUUCUUGUCAAGUUUGUCUCUUUUAACCUGUGGCACAUGGAAGAAACAAACACAACCAAAUACUUUAGUGAAGCUUAGUGAUGGUUUGUAUCCAUUCCAAGCCUCAAAUGGAGUUUUAUUCAACAAUGCUUUAGUAGGAAGCUGAUUUUGGAGAAAUAUUGCCGUAUUAGCUGCCUCAGUCCAAAAACUUUUCGGCAACUCUUUUUCAUGCAACAUGCACCGCGACAUCUCCAUUAUAUAUCUGUUUCUCUUUUCACUAACUCCAUUUUGUUGCGGAGUAUAUGGAGCAGUAAGCUGAUGAGUAAUACCCGCUUUCUCACAAAAUUUGUUAAAUUGUUCAAAAUUAUACUCUUUUCCAUUGUCAGACCACAGAGAUUGGAUUCUGCAACCACUUUGAUUUUCCACCAUCUUCUUGAACUUCAAGAAAAUUCCAGCCACUUCUGAUUUAUAUUUCAUAAAAAAAAUCCAGCAGAAUCUUGUAUAGUCGUCAAUGAAUAUAACGUAGUAUAGACUACCAUUAAGGGAUGGUGUUCUUUGAGGUCCUGCAACAUCUGUGUGAAUCAGUUGCAACCUUUGAGAAGUCCGCCAUGUUGCUUUAGGAAAUGACUUCUUAUUCUGCUUACCAAAUUGACAAGCUUGACAACUUGGUAAGUGAUCAACUAGAGUUGGUAGUCCUCUUGUCAUAUCUUCCUUCUCCAGCAACAAUAGUGCUUGUAGAUGGCAAUGGCCAAGUCUCUUGUGCCAGGUUUCCGUUACACUUGCCUUCAUGGAAUAAGCUAGUCACUCUUUCUCUGUUGGAUCAAAGGAAAAAAUCCUUCCUCUCAUCUUCACCCUGAAAAUUUCAUUUCCAGUAGUGUCACUGAUUUGACAGUGAUGAUCUUCGAAGAAAACCUUGAAUUCUUUUUCCAUCAGAUGUCCUACGCUUAGCAAAUUCUGAUCAAUUUCAAGAACAUACAGAACCUCUGAAAUUUUCUUUGUGCCAGUGCUCGUCUUGAUAGCUAUGGUUCCAAUUCCUUUGACAGGAAGGUGAUCUCCAGUUCCUAUCCAAACCUUCGAAAUUUCAGUGGGCUUCAACUCCUUGAAUAAACUCUCGUCAUGAGUCAUGUGGUUAGUGCAACCUGUAGUAUCCGGAAAUUUGAAAAUAGCUAUGACGAGGCUGAGAAUUGGAAAUAGUCACUUUUUGGAAAGAAUUCAAAUCUGGAAAUUUGGUUAAGUGUGGGAAAAAAAUGAGUUUUUGGCCAACUUUGAACAGUCAUAACUCCUAGAUCAGGAUAAGUUAGGUGUAGUUCCAGUUAUUUUUGCGAAGCCCUUGGAAUGAUCUUUCCAACACUGCCGAGUUUGCUCGAUUCCGAGUUUGUAUGAGUGAGUUAUGCCCUUUGGAAGUUGGGUUGUUGGUAUAGGAAAGUUCACCCGAAAUUGUAAGGGUAUUUUGGUCUUUUCCCUAACCAAUUCUUUUGGUUAUAUUAGUGUGUUAGACUGAUUUUGGAUUAGUUUUUCCCAUUUUAAAGAGUAAGAGAGAGGGUUUGUGAGUGAAGAGGAGAAGAAGAGGAGAAAGAGGGGAUCAAGCAAGGAUUCAUCAAAGAUCGUCGUGGAUAUCGUCGGGGGUGAUCCCUACUAGGUAUGUGAGUUCAUAGUGUUGGGUUGGUUCUUUCCCCCACACGCCAAUCUCGUUUUAAUUUCGAGAAAAGAUUGAUUGUGUUUGUUGAAGUUGUUGGUUGUGAUUGUGUUGAAGUUCUUGUUGAUUUGGGCAUGUUUUCGGUUGUGUUUCUGGGUUAAAUAUAUUGUAUGUUGAGGGGUUUUAUGAUAUUAAGUGUUUGGGGCUGGAAACUUUGAAGUUGGGAAGGUUUAGAAUUGGAAAAACAAGGAAGAAAAGUCGAAUUUUCGAGGGAAAAGGGGUGGGCCAUCGCGCCUGCCAGCGCGCCCCAAAAGGGGUUCUGAACUUUCCCCCUUGGGGCGGCGCACCUAGCAGCGCGCCAGCAGGCCCCUCUGAAGUUUUAGGGCUGGCGCCCCGCGCCUCUCAGAGCAACAAGGACGCCAACCUUUCCCAUUCAUUCCCCACAUUUUCAUGCAUGUUCCUUAGUAUUGUACUUAUGUUUCAUAGUUGUUUCCAACACUCCAAGGUACGUCUAAACGUCAAGAACUCAUCGAUAAACAUGUGAUCAUAUACCUUGAAUCCAUAAUCCAAUUCAAGGCGAGUUAGGAUCAAGUCAAAGUGAAGUUAAGGGUCAAGUCUAGAAGUUAAGAAGCAAGUCAAAGCAAGUUUUCAAAGGUGUUCAAGAGUCUUUAUUGAACGUUCUAACUUCAUUUUAAGGCUCAAGUUUCAAGUCAAGUAAAGAGUAUAGAGCUUCAAGCUAAGUAAAGAGUCUCAGGUUUCAAGUUAAGUCAAGAGUAUAAAGUUGAGUUCAUUUCUCAAAAACUAUUAGGGACCUAAGUAUUCCCAAAGACGUUUAUAAAUGUUUUUACAUUUGAGUAAGAAGGGAACCAUGUUCUCCAAAAAGAGCCUUUGGGCUAAGUUUGAGUAAUUAUCUCAACUAAAGAAAGAUUUGUUUAAAACACUUAUGAGCUAAAAUAUAUUUUUGGGAGUAGUCUUGAGCACCGAGUUGGGGACAUGAGUUCAUAUUAACUCAACUCUCCAUAAGAACCAUGUGGCCAACAUGGGAUUUAACGGGUCAUACUUUUUAGAUAAUCACGUAAGUUAAGCUAGUGGAUCCACUUAGUAAAGUUAGCUUCCUAUAUCACGGCAAGGUAUAGGAUGGGCCUCGGCAGUGCGAGGUAAAGCGCUGUAUCAUCACUAUAGUUCUUAAAUGAUGGUUGUCGGAUAGAGAAACUCCCACAGCAGUAGAAAGUGCUUGGUUCCUCGAGGAGUUCUGCUUAGUAUGAAUGGGGGUAUGGGACUUCAUUCAUACAUUGCACAAGUAGACCUUGAGAGGAAGCAUGGUAUUUUCAUGAUAUUAAAAAUAUGAUUUUUACGUCAUGUUUUAAGAGUUUUACAAGCUUUAUAUAUUGCAUGUGUCUUAUUGCUUUAUAUAUUGAGUUCAGUUAUUCAUGAGUCCUCCUUGCUUUCCAUAGGACUCGGUUAUUUUGUGUUCUUAGUUUUGUUUUAUUAGGGUGUUGCGGGGUCUGUCCCAACAUCCAUCUCAGUAUUUUUAGAGGCUUCACAGACAGUCAGUCAGUAAGUUUUGAGUCUCUCAUCUAUGUAUAUAUAUAAUAUUCUAUUUUGAGACGCGAGUUGCUUUUUUGGCUAGCUUUUGUCAGUUAGGUUGUUUUAUGACCUUUCAUUGCAUUGAGUUAUGCUGUUGAGUUAAGUUUCUGUUGAGUUAAGAAAAGCCAGGCCAAGGGUUCGCUUGGGGGCCAACAAUGGUGUUCGAGUGCCGGCCACGUCCAGGGUGUAGGUUCGGGGCGUGACACAACCACUGUCAACUAACCAAGAAUCUGUUGAGCUCUUACUUGAAAAGCAUGUUGCAAUAAAAGGAUGAUCUUCUUCUUCUUGAUCAACAACUUGAGCAUUUCCUUCCUCCUGCGGGGCCUAAUUCUUGCAAAUCACUGCUUCGUGUCCAAGCUUAUUGCAUUUCUUACAUUUAGCAUCAAGUCUCUUCCAACACUUGAAUGGUGCAUGGCCUUUUCUUCCACAAUGGUGACAAGGGGGAUAACUUUUUUUCGCACUUCCUCCCUUAGUUUUGUUGUUGGCUGAUGUUUCUCCUUCACACACUGCUUGAUUCUUUUUCUUCUUCUGAAUUUUGUUAACCUGAUGCUUACUGACAAGUGCCCCUUCUGUUGUAACCUCCUGUCUCAUGAGUCUUCUUUGCUCUUGAGCUUUCAGGGAAUUGAGCAACUCUGUCAAACUAAUCUUUGACAAAUCCUUAGUAUUUUAUAAGGUUGUAAUUGUUGCUUCAUACCUUUCAGGAACUGUUACAAGGAUCUUCUCAACAAUUCUCGAGUCUGAAAAUGUAGAGCCGAGUAGCCUCACCUUUUUUGCAAUAUUUAGAAGUCUAUCCGAAUAUUCCUUCACUGUUUCAGAUUCCUUCAUUUUUUGCAAUUCAAACUCCCUAAUUAAGUUUAAAACUUGCAUACCUUUUAUUCUCUCAUCUCCAGAAUACUCUUCCUUAAGAUAAUCCCAUACUUCUUUAGCAGUUUUCAGAGACAUUAUUCGCGUGAAAACUAUUGACGAUACAACAGCAAAUAAACAUGCCUUGGCCUUCGAUUUCUUUGUCUUCUGUUCCUUGUGUGCUUUAAUCUGAGCAAUGGUAGGAUUAUUUGGUAGGGCUGGAAUAUCGUAAUCCUCUUCCACAGCUUCCCAGAGAUCCAAAGCAUCCAAGUACGUCUCCAUUCAUACUGCCCAAAUCUGAUAAUUAUCUCCAUCAAAGACCGGCGGAGCAAUUGGUGAGAAACUUGCUUCAGCAUCCAUGGCUACUCCAACUCGAUCACAAAUCCCUUAAGAUGAAAGCUCUGAUACCAACUGUUUUUAGUAAGACUAAUGACAGAUAACACAAUGAAGACAAUGUCUAGUUUGCUACAGAAAGGAAAGCAGGAGAAUACAAGGAAUUUAAAUGUGAAGAUAACUAAGAGAAAAGCUUAUGCAGAAAGUUGUAUUUCAGUAAAAUCAACCAAAAAUACAUAAACAUACAAUUAAGUAACUGAUAUAGAUCAUGGUCCUACUUUUAAGUCAUGGUACUAACCAUGGUAACUACCCCUAAAAUAACUGAAAAAAGAAAUACAGGAAACUUAGAAAUAGAUCCUGCAGUCCUAAAGCAACUAACUAAUAGUCGUAAAUGGUAAUCGAUUUGAAGGACCUGUCCCUGUGUCGUUGCUCAAAUGUCAUAAUUUAGAAGUUCUUGAUGUGGGGAACAAUGCUAUAAAUGACACGUUUCCAUCUUGGCUUGAAAUUCUUCAAGAGCUGCAGGUCCUUAUAUUAAAGUCGAACAAGUUCCAUGGACCUAUAAGUACGUGUCAAACUAAGUUUUGCUUUCCCAAGUUGCGAAUUUUUUAUUUUUCUCGUAAUGAUUUCAGUGGCUCACUUCCUGCAAAAGUUUUUGGAAACUUCAAGGCAAUGAUCAAAUUAGAUGACGAAGACACAAGAGAGAUCAGGUACAUGGAAUCUAUGUCGAAUUUGUCAUCUAUCGCAUCGUAUGAGGAAUCAGUGAGUUUGGUAAUCAAAGGGCACGUUAUUGAGCUACAAAGAAUCAGCACAAUUAUGACAACCAUAGAUCUCUCAAGCAACCAUUUUGAAGGUGUCAUUCCGGAAACACUAAAAGAUCUCAGCUCACUUUGGCUACUCAAUUUAUCCCAUAACAAUCUCAUAGGUCAUAUUCCAAUGGAAUUGGGGCAAUUGAAUACACUUGAAGCUUUAGAUCUCUCCUGGAAUUGGCUCACUGGAAAGAUUCCGCAGGAAUUAACAAGAAUGAACUUUCUGGCCUUCUUAAACAUCUCUCAAAAUCAUCUCGUCGGACCAAUUCCUCACAGUCUACAGUUCAACACAUUUGAAAAUGACUCGUAUGGCGGCAACCUUGAUUUAUGUGGUCCUCCUUUAUCAAAACAAUGUGGAACGAGAGAUUCAUCACAUGUUCCUCAAGCAUUGGAGUCCUAUUUUUUUAGUGGAUUUACAUGGGAAUCAGUAGUCAUAGGCUACAGUUUUGGACUAGUUGUUGGAACUGUCAUGUGGAGUCUCAUGUUUAAAUAUCGUAAGCCAAAAUGGUUAGUGGAAUUUUUUGAUGGACUCAUGCCUCAGAAAAGAAGAAGGCCAAAGAAGAGAGCUCAGAGACGACGGACUUAAUGGAAGAUUGAGAGGGGCCAACUUGUCUUUGUUUGAUUUUGUGGACUAAUUAGUGAACUUCUCUGGUUCUGUUUUUGUCUUUUUAAUAUUCUGUUUGUUGUUUGUAUAUGUUUGAUAGAAACAUAAUUAUAUAUGAGUUAUUUUAGUAUCAAUGGUUAUUCAAGUUAUGUUUCUGUUUCAAGUUGACAUAAGUGAUCCACACACCAAACUUAUUAAUUAGCUAUGAUACCCGGACUUUUCAAAAAUGCCAACAGAUACUUGUUGGAUUCUUCAAAGUAUUGCAUUUCUCAAGGAACCAACACAGGUGCGACAUCAUUAUAUUUUAGGAGAGUCGGAGCAACAUAGUUCAUUAGUACAACAAAAAGGAAAAAGCAAAGCAGUAAGCACAUAGAGUUUGGUUCAUGAUUGAAAUCACUUGAUAUUAGAAAGUUCAUAUAUUCAGCAUAACUGCAUGUCCAUUUUACAUUACAGUUCUUCUUAUACAAACUAGAAAAGAAAAUCUUGUGUUUACAGAAACUGAAAAUUGAUUUUCUAUAAUGUAAUACAUUUGCAUUGACCACACUACCCUUUUGUCACAGUGUUUUAUAGGUUACGAAGUUUAAGAAAAAAAAGUAAGAUUUUUUAAAUUUGUGAUUUUGAAUAUGACGUGCGAUUUUUGUGGCUAUAUAUAAAAGUAUGAAGUGUUGAUCUUUUUUGAAAUAGAUUAAUAGGAAAUAGUGUUACGUAAAAUGAAAGACAGAAUGUACUAUAUAGUGUGAUAUUGAACCAGAUCUUGAGAUAUAUAGAGUGCAAACUAGCUAGCUGUAAAGUAUCAACUUUGUCCCCAUUAAGUUUUUUCUACUACAAAAAAACUAGAAAAGUGAAAAGUGUUGUGGAAAAUUAUAGAAUGUACCUAACAUGUUUGAAAACAACUAAUCAGGAAUUUCUGAUACAAUUUCUCUGCAAUCUUUAACAUUAAAUAUUGACCAAGUCAAGUCUCUCUGGUGGUGGAAUUAGAAUGUUGAAUUAGCUUUACUUUUAUUUCUUUCUUGUUUAACAUCUUAUAUUUAUAAAUAAAAUAAGGCAACAUGUCCUAUCAUUAUUAUACUAAAUUUAUUUUUCUUCUUGUUUAAGAGCUUAUAUUUCUGUAAAGAAUGUGUAUGCUAUAUUUUUACAUUUUUCACUUCUGAAUAAGUAGUAGUAUAUGAAUCUUGCAUAAUAUAACCUGCUUUUCCAAGAGGCCUUUGUGUAUUAAAUUUUUUGUAUCUAUUAUCUAGAUUAAGCUUCAUCUAGAUAAUGCAAAAACCGACUCUGGUUAGUCUUCGCGGAAAUUUGCCUAAAGACUUAGAAGUCAUCGUCUGAUAGUUGCAGUAAAGUACCCCUUUUUUCUUUGUUGCUUAAUUAAAUACGAGACGGUCCUAUGAAGAAUAAUGGAGUUUCCCUCAUUAACUUAAUGUGAAAACUCAUGUGUAACUAACAAGUUUGAAAACAGCACAAGAGACAACUAAUCAAACACCAACUUGGAAAUUUCUCAUAAUAGCUUUUAGGAACGCUUUGUAUAAUCCAAUGUUUUUUUGAGCUAUUGACUUAGUACAACACAACAGGAAAAGGCUGCAUCCACCUGUGGGGCUCAUGUUGUUCAUGGGUUAUUUAUCAGUCUAGACCUUAGUGGUAGUUAUCUUUAUGGAACUGUAGAGAAUAGCAGAAGAAAAGUAUAAUCUGCUAGCCCAAGAUCAUUAACUAUAAAAGAUCGGAAUAUUCAACUAAAGAAGAGGAAGCUAGAAAGAACUUGUUUAUGGAAUAAGACUCUUUUAUUUGGGUUGUUCUUGAGUUGUAUACAAAUGACUGAGGCCACCCCUAUUUAUACUUAUGUGGGGAUGGUUCUAGACAUUACAAGAUCUAGACUAUUUUCUACAGUGAGUGUUACAUACGGGACCAAUUUCACAUCAUCUUGCGUAACAAACAAUGCAGAAAUAGUUAAUGACCUCGAAAUGAACAACAACAUCUUGAGAAAAUGAGGACAUAAGGGGUAUUAUUUUGUUAAGUCUUCUCCGUCCUCUAAAAAGUCUUGUGGAACACUACAAAAUAUGAAGUAACAAGUUGUUAGAAGUGAGUAGUACUCAUCCAUGGACCACAAGUUGUGUAGUUAGUGAUGCCAAGGUUGUAUUAUUUUUUCUCCCUUUAUGCCAAAGUUGGACAAAAUGAAUAUUGUAUAUAUAAUUGGUACUAUCAAACAAAAUUUGAAGACUUGAGUCUUUCUGGAAAAUGACUUAAAACACUUUGGACAACUUUUUUGCAAUCACAAAUUAGUUAGUGGUAGAUGUGGGGGCAAAUACCCCAUUUUAUUUGUCUGGAUAUGUUUCAUUCUCUUUUUCUAUUCACACUUUUACAGUAAAGAUGAAAGAGAAAAUAAUUUAUGUGUGAACAAAUUAAAUAUACCACAACAUGAUUUUCUUAAAAAUAAAAAAAAUAAAAAAAGUAAUUUUUGUACAAGUAGGGAUAUAUGUGAAGCCACUUUUGUAACAACGGGUAUAUUAACUCUAAAAUGACAAAGUUGAGGGAUAUAUCAUGCCCUUUUCCUUAAUGUGCCUUGCAAUGAUAACAAUAUAAGUUGAAUAGGAUACAGUUCACUACAAUUAUACCACAAAAACAACUUUUUUGAUGUAGUGUCGAUCACUACACCUUUAUCUUGAGUCGAGGGUCUACGAAAACAGCCUCUCUACUACUUUGGUUAUUCUCCAUCUCUUUCAUGUUUGAACUGUAUCAUAUAGAUGGAGUUUCCCUCAUUAACUAAAUGUGAAAAGUCUUGGAAAACAACACAAGAGACAACUAAUCGGAAAUUUCUCAUAAAAUUUCUAAUUAUGCAGGAAAUUAAGACACAUAUCAAACAAAAUUUUGAAUAAAAAGCAAAUAAAAAAAUUAAAAAAAAAUUCCACACGGUAUUAUUGUUCAUUUUUUUCCUCACUUGACUUAGUCAAGAAAUAGUUUCUCUCAUUGGAAAUUUCUUAGAAGUUCAGCAAAAAACAAUUCCACAUAAUGGGACCAAAUUCACAUCAUCUUGCCUAACACACACUGCAGCGAUAGUUAAUGACCUCAAAAUGAACUCAACAUCUAGAGAAAAUUAGGACAUAAAGAGUAUUAUUUCGUUAAGUCUUCUCCGUACUCUAAAAAGUAUUGUGGAACACUACAAUAUAUGAGUAACAAGUUGAUUUUUAAUACCAUUGUUUAAUCUCCUUAAUGUUUUGAGUAAGAUUUGAUUUUUUUUUUUACGCGAUGCGUGACGCCUAGGCAGACGUGCCCUGAGUAAGAUUUGGUUAUUCUAACUUUAUAUUAUAUUUUUUCAUUGAAUUUUUUUGUUGUUUGUACUCUUCCUUCAUAAAGGUCUGUGUAUAUCCUACCUUCUUGAAACUUUACUCGUAAGAUUACAUUAAUCAUUAUGUUAUAGGUAUUCAAUAUACAUAGGACACUUAGAACUAGUAUAUAUAUGUAUGGAUGAUACUGACUGAUUUGUAAGAAGAACACAUCCAUCCUGAACACAAACAAACAAAAAAUGGUCAUGAGUCUGUUUUUCUUUUAUUCAUUUCUAUGUUUUGUGUUUUUAUUAAGUGAAUGCUUUUCUUCAUCCUUUGAUCAUCAUCUUUGCUCUCCCACUGAAGUUUCUGCUUUGCUUCAGUUUAAGCAAUCCUUUAAAAUAUCUGAUUACUCUACUCUUCAGUGUGAUACUUCUUUCCCAAAAACAAAGUCUUGGAAUGAGAGUAGGGAUUGCUGCAGUUGGGAUGGAGUCACUUGUGACUUAUUAAACGGUCAUGUUAUCGGGUUAGACCUUAGCUGUAGUCAGCUUCGUGGAAGUAUUCAUCCCAAUAGCAGCCUCUUCCAACUUCAUCAUCUCCAAACACUAAACCUUGCUUACAAUAACUUUUCAACUUCUUCAAUCUCACAUAACAUUGGCCGAUUGAGGAAUUUGAGGCAUCUCAACCUUUCUAAUUCUUUCUUUAGUGGGAAAAUCCCAACAGAAAUCUCAUUCCUUUCCAAUUUGGUUUCACUUGAUCUUUCUUAUAGUUAUGGAUUACAACUUGAUGAGAGAACAUUUGAAACAAUGCUUCACAACUUUACAAAUCUGGAGGUACUAGCUCUCUUUCUUGGCAACAUCUCGUCACCGAUACCUGUAAGUAUUCAUCCCAAUAGCAGCCUCUUCCAGCUUCAUCAUCUCCACACACUAAACCUUGUUAACAAUUUCUUUUAUCCUUCUUCAAUCCCAAAUGGCAUUGGCCGAUUGAGGAAUUUGAGGCAUCUAAAACUCUAUGAAUUUCAAGGGAAAAUCCCAACAGAAAUCUCACACCUUUCCAAUUUGGUUUCACUUGAUCUUUCUUAUAGUUAUGAAAAAUUACAACUUGAUGAGAGAACAUUUGAAGCAAUGUUUCAGAACUUGACAAAUCUGGAGCUACUUUCUCUCUAUGGUGUCAACAUCUCAUCUCCGAUACCUGUUAAUAUUUCUUCAUCCUUAAGGUACCUGGAUCUUGGAUAUACUAAUCUGCGAGGUGUUCUCACAGAGAGCUUUUUCCUUGUGCCAAACUUGGAAAUACUCAAAUUGAGUGGGAAUGAUCUUGUCAAAGGAGUUUUUCCAAAGAUCCACUGGAGCAACACUCUGUUAAUGGAGUUGGAUAUUUCAUCCACAGGCAUCUCUGGUGAGGUGCCUGAUUCAAUUGGCACCUUCAGUUCCUUGAAUAUCUUGAACCUUGCAGGAUGCCAAUUCUCUGGUUCCAUUCCUGAUUCCAUUAGCAACCAAACACAAAUUAGGGAGUUGAUUUUAUAUCAUAAUCAUUUCACUGGCCAUAUUCCUUCCACAAUCUCUAAAUUGAAGCACCUCACACGUUUGGAUCUUUCAAUUAACUCCUUUUCAGGUGAAAUUCCUGAUGUUUUCUCAAACCUCCAAGAGCUACGUACUUUACAUCUUUCUUAUAACAGCUUCAUCGGUUCGUUUCCCGCUUCAAUUUUAAGUUUGACACAUCUUGAAUACUUAGGAUUGUCGAGUAAUUCCCUAUCUGGCCCACUGCCUAGCAACCAAAGCAUGCUUCAAAAGCUAACCGAACUGAAUUUGUCAUACAACUCACUGAAUGGUACCAUACCAUCUUGGGUGUUUAGCCUACCUUUGCUAUCUUCAGUGUCGCUCCAACAUAACCGAUUCAGAGGACUAGCCGAUGAAGUGAUCAAAACAAACCCAACAUUAAAACAACUGCAAUUAAGCAAUAAUCAACUCAGUGGUUCUUUUCCUCAAUCACUUGUGAAUCUCACAAACCUUGAAACCCUUGGAAUUUCAUCAAAUAACAUCACCAUUGAUGGGGGAAUGAAUAUCACCUUUCAUAGACUAUCAUCUUUAUUCUUAUCAUCUUGUGAACUGAAGGAUUUUCCACACUUCUUGAGAAAUGUAAAGACACUUGUGUACUUGGAUAUUUCUAACAAUAAGAUUUGUGGUCAAAUCCCUAACUGGUUUAGUGGCAUGAGGUGGGACUCGUUGCAGUUCCUAAACCUUUCUCAAAAUUCAUUAACAGGCCACCUACCACAAUUUCGUUACGAUAACCUACAGUAUCUUGAUCUGAAAUUUAACUACCUUCAGGGUCCACUAGCUUUAUCCAUUUGUAACAUGAGGAAACUUAUCUUAUUAGAUUUAUCACACAACUACUUCAGUGACUCAGUUCCACAUUGCUUGGGAAGCAUGCCUAAUCUAACGGUGCUGGACUUAAGAAGGAACAAUUUCACAGGGAGUCUUCCCCCAUUAUGUGCACACAGCACUUCGUUGAGUACCAUUGUCAUAAAUGGUAAUCCUUCCUGCAAAAGUUUUUGGAAACUUCAAGGCAAUGAUCAAAUUAGAUGACGAAGACACAAGAGAGAUCAAGUACAUGAAAUCUACGUUGAAUGCGUUAGUUGUCAGAUCGUAUGAGGAUUCGGUGAGUUUGGUGAUCAAAGGGCAGGAUAUUGAGCUAGAAAGAAUCAGCACAAUUAUGACAACCAUAGAUCUCUCCUGGAAUCGGCUCAUUGGAAAGAUUCCGCAGGAAUUGACAAGAAUGAACUUUCUGGCUUUCUUAAACCUCUCUCAAAACCAUCUUGUCGGACCAAUUCCUCACGGUCUACAAUUCAACACAUUUGAAAAUGACUCGUAUGGUGGCAACCUUGAUCUAUGUGGUCUUCCUUUGACAAAGAAAUGUGGAACGAGUGAUUCAUCGCAUGUUCCUCAACAAUUGGAGUCCGAAGAAGAAGAAGGCGAGUCAUAUUUUUUAGUGGAUUUACAUGGGAAUCAGUAGUCAUAGGCUACAGUUUUGGACUAGUUGUUGGAACUGUCAUGUGGAGUCUCAUGUUUAAAUAUCGUAAGCCAAAAUGGUUUGUGGAAUUUUUUGAUGGACUCAUGCCUCAGAAAAGAAGAAGGCCAAAGAAGAGAGCUCAGAGACGAAG
rnacentral:lncRNA from 1 species